UGGCUACAUCCACCGAAAACAAAGGUUUCUGAAAACUCCGGCCAAAGUGAAAAUUUCUGUAAAUCUCCCUGUUUGUGUUUGCCUGUAGACA